rnacentral:lncRNA from 1 species
AUGCGGCCCGGGGUGGGGGGAGGAGGAGGAGGACAUGAGGGGUCACUGCCAGGUGCUGCAGGAGUGACCAGCAGGACAUGGGGACCCAGCCCGGCCGCCGGUUGUCCCCGCACGGUCCGGCACAAAUCCCCUCUCACGCACGGAGCUGCUCCAGGGACAUUUCCCGGCCGGCCGAGCUCCUGUUUCCCCUGCCCGGUGCUGUCCCCCCUGCCCGGUGCUGUCCCCGCUCCAUCCCGGUGCUGUCCCCGGUGCUGUCCCCCCUGCCCGGUGCUGUCCCCGCUCCAUCCCGGUGCUGUCCCCCCUGCCCGGUGCUGUCCCCGCUCCAUCCCGGUGCUGUCCCCCCUCUCCCGGUGCUGUCCCCCUGCCCGGUGCUGUCCCCUCUGCCCCGUGCUGUCCCCGCUCUCUCCCGGUGCUGUCCCCGCUCCUUCCCGGUGCUGUCCCCUCUCCCUCCCGGUGCUGUCCCCUCUCUCUCCCAGUGCUGUCCCCUCUGCCCGGUGCUGUCCCCGCUCCCUCCCGGUGCUGUCCCCGCUCUCUCCCGGUGCUGUCCCCGCUCCAUCCCGGUUCUGUCCCGCUCCCUCCGGCCGCGGGUGCCGCAGUCCCGCCCGCCCUCUGCUGGCACCGGGCUCCGUCUGCUCUGGCAAGCGGGAAGAGCUUCCUAAAACCGGGAAUAUCGGCCUGGAAGGAGCGUCCGACCCGGCCCUGCCCACCCAGUGCCAGCCCUGCCAUGGCAGGGUCACCUCCCGCUGUCCCCCCCUGCUCCAGCCUGGCCCUGGGCACUGCCAGGGAUCCAGGGGCAGCCCCAGCUGCUCCGGGAAUUCCAUCCCAAAAUCCCAGCCAAAUUCCCUGUUCCACUCUGAAGCCAUUCCCCGUGUCCAUCCCUGUCCCCAGUCCCUCUCCAGCUCUCCUGGAGCCCCUCCAGGCCCUGCCAGGGGCUCCGAGCUCUCCCUGGAGCUUCCCCAGGCUGGACAAUCCCAAUUCUGUCUCCAAAAGCUCCAGGUUGGAGCUGGAAGGGCCCUGUCCCCCCCCCCAAGUCUGUGCUCACAUAAAGACACAGCCCCACUUAACCCAAAAUAA